CCCUUAGAUGUCCUGGGCCGCACGCGCGUUACACUGAUGCACUCAACGAGCAUAUAACCUUGGCCGAGAGGCCUGGGUAAUCUUGUUAACAUGCAUCGUGAUAGGGAUAGAUUAUUGCAAUUAUUAAUCUUGAACGAGGAAUUCCUAGUAAUCGCGGUUCAUCAAACCGCAAUGAUUACGUCCCUGCCCUUUGUACACACCGCCCGUCGCUCCUACCGAUUGAAUGGUCCGGUGAAGCGUUCGGACCGUGGCCUUUGGACGGUUCGCCGUCUGUUGGCUGCGGGAAGUUCGUUAAACCUUAUCAUUUAGAGGAAGGAGAAGUCGUAACA
rnacentral:rRNA from 1 species